UCUGCGUCACUCGCUGUCUCGCCCCGCUACGUGCAGGAAGCCACUUCUGAUCGUCACUGCGGUGGUGCUGGCCGGUUGGUGUUGGUGAGAAACAAACUCGCCAUCACUCCCUGGGGUCACAAGGAAGGCCAAGACAGGGAAGGAGAGGAGUCUGACGUAUGGAGACGAGGGAACCUGUGGUACAGAUUGUGACUACCAGACGCCCUCACCUGCGCGAUGUCAAGGCCUGCGUGCAUACAUUCACCAGCAGGAUGGAUGUGUGUUAUCAAUGAUGGGUAUGUUCGUAUUCAGGCAACCGGAAAUGAGUACUGAAAACGAAUUACUUUAACGUGCUAUCUGUUGUAGUGACGCGAAGUAACUUGUAAUAAUGGUUGCUAACGUAUAUUCCUUGUUCAGAGGGUUACAGAGCAUACUUAACGUUUAUGUCGAGGUUGUUUGAAAUAUCAUUGUGUUGAAAGGAAAAUGUGACCAAGUUCACCAGCUCGAGUCAGUUAAGGAGCUCGCUGCAGCUGCAACAAAAUUCUUUAAGUUAUUUCGUUGGUAUUCCUUUCUUGUUACGUGAUGCAUUCUAGUACAUGCAUGAAGGAACUGUAACAGACACCAUGGUCAAAUGUAUUUAUCUUAAAAUGCAAGUGAAAUCAAAUUCGAAAAUCUUUUGAGUUGAUUGGUGACGAGAGUUAGGUUAGUAGUUAACCUGCCCUAGUUUCUGUGUAACAGCUACUAAUUUCUCAACAGAUUCCUUCGAGAAGAUAAGUUGCAUGGGAUAUAUGUCUCUCCAGUUCUAACUCUGCCGAGGUUUGCACAGGUUCAUGUGAGUUACCAGGGAUCUAGAACACCUGGCCGGAUUCAGCUUUGAGUGGAUCGAUACACCUGGAUAUCCAUUUUCGAGCUCAGUAACUGCAAUUACGUGAAAUAUAUCGUGAUGACUAGCGUGUAGAUAACUACGAGUAGUACUCCCUGCUAAUUAUAUAUAAAUCGUACUUAUCUGUAUAAACGGAGUUUCACUAUAACAUAUACGCGUACAUGAGGGAUAUAAGAGUCGCACAAGGCACUGUACGUUAUAAAGAAUGAUUUAGCUUAUAAAUGUUUUAUUUUCAGCCGUUGUAUCAAUCUAAACAAGUCACCACGAGUCACCGUGACCAGCCAACACCUGUGACCCAUCCCUGGCCGUGCUAGAUGGACGUAAGUGUCCCUCAUCCCACUUACGACCGCCUAGCACGGUAUGGGGCGGCGUCUGCACCGCCGAUGGAAAGGAAACGUGGUAUUGAGUGUAACCGCUCAAGAUAAAGACCUAAUGUUGGUCGUGAAAGUACAGUUGCGUGUUUCUCCAAUCAUAUUGGUAAGGUAAUUGACAAGCUUGUGAAAUAAAGAUAUUGUAUUGUUUCCUUUCACACUAUCCCACGAAGAAGGAAGUUAAUCCGAUGAUGACCUACUCUGGUUAAAUAAAUCAUUUGAAAAACGAAUCAAAUAAAUAAUCAAAGUAACAUUGUAAAGACUGAUAUGGACGUAGUAUAGGCAAUGUAAUGCAAUCAUCCAAGGGACUGUAUAUAGUAUAUAUAAAAUAUGUUAAUUGAAACGCUA